CGUACACUCCUGCGGGAGGCAGCAGUGGGGAAUUUUGGACAAUGGGCGCAAGCCUGAUCCAGCCAUGCCGCGUGCGGGAAGAAGGCCUUCGGGUUGUAAACCGCUUUUGUCAGGGAAGAAAAGGUUCUGGCUAAUACCUGGGACUCAUGACGGUACCUGAAGAAUAAGCACCGGCUAACUACGUGCCAGCAGCCGCGGUAAUACGUAGGGUGCAAGCGUUAAUCGGAAUUACUGGGCGUAAAGCGUGCGCAGGCGGUUAUGCAAGACAGAGGUGAAAUCCCCGGGCUCAACCUGGGAACUGCCUUUGUGACUGCAUGGCUAGAGUACGGUAGAGGGGGAUGGAAUUCCGCGUGUAGCAGUGAAAUGCGUAGAUAUGCGGAGGAACACCGAUGGCGAAGGCAAUCCCCUGGACCUGUACUGACGCUCAUGCACGAAAGCGUGGGGAGCAAACAGGAUUAGAAACCCGCGUAGUCCCA
rnacentral:rRNA from 1 species